UGGGAAAUGAGUUUUAGGUUGAUUUUAGUUUGAACUCGAGUUUGCAAAUCAACAGCUGUUUGUGGUGGUUGUGUUCAAGAGACUCAGAAGAAAUCAAAACAGCUGUUUAAAUGGUUUUCUUGAGCUGGAUUUGGAUUUUGAGAUAAGCAGAAGGGUUAGAUGAAUGUUAGGACAGGGAUGAAGCAUUUAUUGUUGGUGGUCUUGGUUUGUGAUGAAUUCAGAAAUGCGGGAAGACAUUACAACCGGGUUGGUUGUAGCUGAAGAUGAAGUUGCAGGUGCAGGGUAAGAUGCAGUUGGAGUUGUUUGGUUCUGGAUGCUACAGGGAAGAAGGUCUGGAGAUUGUAUGGCUAAGGUGUUAAGAAUGGAUGUAGUAGUGAAUGAAUGGGUUAAAGGAUAUUGAUGGAGAAUUUGUGCAUGCAGCUGAACUGUAAUAUGCAGUGACUGAAAUGGUGUAGUCUCGCUCCUUAUAUCAACACAUGGACAGGAGAAGAAAGGUCGAACUUCUCUGUUCAUUUUGGAACAACUAUGCAGUAUGAUAUGUCCAUCAAAGCCGGAGCCUUUUAUCUUUUAAUUUUGAACAAGGCGCAUACCCAAGAAGAGUUCAU